AGGUUUGAUUACCACCACCUAAGACACGGCCACUUUUUAAAAUAUUUGUAGUUUAAAUUAAUAACAGGCUCAGUAAGACCAUCAAAAAUACAAGUCUCAAGAGGUACCUGGAGAGUGAACAAACUUUCCUCAAACUGAUUUCAUCCCAUUUGCACCUGAUGUCUGAUACACAGCAGCUACUCGGUAAGCAUUAGCUUGCCUUAUUACUCCCGCUUGGGCUCUGGUAUUCCCUGGGCAGGGGUGCAGUGACCUGAGGGGUGGGAGAUCCACAUGUGGGGGAAGGAAGACACCUGCGAACAGCAGGCUAUGGGGCACGGGGCUAGUGCAGAGGGUCCCUGGACCUGGGGAAGUGAUACUAAUGUGCCUGCCAUGGGCUUGCCCCUGGGCCGAGACCCUGAAGGAAAUCGCUAUUUCAGCCAACUGCAUUGCCUGCACAGGGUCAUUUCGUCUAUGCCAGCUACCCAGCAUGCUUGAAAGCCACCCCCAGAAAAUAAUUUCUCAGAGCAUCAUCUGGGUUUAAUAUUCCGGCGGCAGGUAUAAGUGACAUCAUUGCCUUUUCAGCCCUGAGAGGAAGAGUAAUUUUCUUUUAGGAAAAAAGAAGUGAACUAUGAUUACAGGCAGAUCUUUGAGGUGGAGGAAGGAAAGUGAGGAGUUUUAAGCAAUGUUUUCUGCUCUCAUUCUUGGAACAGCUUUCCCUCUUGCCCUUCCUUUCUCACUUAGCUUAUUUAGUUUGGUCCGUUCAGGGUUCCGUUUCCUAAGGGAGGUUUGGUGGGAGAUCUGGAAGAAAGUGCUGCUGCUUCUGCAUGUAGCAAAUGGUGCCCAGCAGGCAGGGCCCAUCCCCUGGAACACAGGGCUACAAGCCAACCACUCUGUGCCUGUGAGUAAACCACACCAAAAAUGGCCAGUCCAGCACUUCCAGGAGCUGCUCAGGUCAGCAAACUCUUUGAACAGCUCCUUUCAGACAGGUACAGUACUGGAGGGGGACAAAGAUGAACCAGAGGGUCCCUGUGCCCCAAGUUCACAGCUGGUUCCGAUUGUUCUGUGGCAUGGCUCAUGAGAGCCACGGCAUAGGGAAGUGGGGUGUGGCUUUGGAGGGACACCCUCCUGGCCCAGGAAAACAGGAAAGCAUAGCCAAUGCCUGCUGGGAGGCAGCAGUUAGAAGUCCAGGCUCUAGAUCUCACAAAGCAGAGACCAAAUCUUCAAAAAGCAGAGACCAAAUCCUGUCUGUCCUGCGACCUGCCAGCUUUGUCAGGUUGGCCUGUUCAAACACCAGAUCAAAAACCUACUUUCAUCUCCACUGAAUUUUCCCCCAUGUUAGUAGUUAUUUUGUGUUAGCUUCUAUUUAUCCUUCUUUUGAUGUUUUCAUACUUUUAAUUAUAAUUUUAUUAGAAAGUAAUAAAACCAAAUUACCCCAAAAAA
rnacentral:lncRNA from 1 species